rnacentral:piRNA from 1 species
AUAGAUUUGAGCACAGUAGGUCUUUUCCAGCC